rnacentral:rRNA from 1 species
UACGUAGGGGGCUAGCGUUGUCCGGAUUUAUUGGGUUUAAAGGGUGCGUAGGCGGUCCUAUAAGUCAGUGCUGAAAUAUCCCGGCUUAACCGGGAGGGUGGCAUUGAUACUGCAGGACUUGAGUAAAGUUGAGGUUGGCGGAAUUGACGGUGUAGCGGUGAAAUGCUUAGAUAUCGUCAAGAACACCUAUUGCGAAGGCAGCUAACUAAGCUUUAACUGACGCUGAGGCACGAAAGUGUGGGGAUCAAACAGG